UACGGGGGGGGUAAGCGUUGUUCGGAAUUACUGUGCGUAAAGGGCUCGUAGGCGGCCAACUAAGUCAGACGUGAAAUCCCUCAGCUUAACUGGGGAACUGCGUCUGAUACUGGAUGGCUUGGAUUCGGGAGAGGAAUGCGGAAUUCCAGGUGUAGCGGUGAAAUGCGUAGAUAUCUGGAGGAACACCGGUGGCGAAGGCGGCAUUCUGGACCGACAUUGACGCUGAGGAGCGAAAGCCAGGGGAGCAAACGGG
rnacentral:rRNA from 1 species